ensembl:lincRNA
CGUCCAUCUGGGGUUGUUCUUGCAUAGUGAACACCUGUGUGCACACGUGUAGGCCCUGCUGUUCCCGUGUGAUCCCGGUACAGAUGCUUUGUCUGUCUGUGUUGAUCCCAGGGGAAAGAUCGGGCGGAGCGCGAGCUGCUAGAGGCAAGAGAGGCCCUGCGAGGCUGUCAGGAGAGAGUCGAGACUCUGGAGGCUGAGAAAGACCAGGUGUUACAGCAGCUCCGGGCCUCCAAAGAGGGACAGCUGGCUGCCUUGAGCCAGACCAAUGAGACCAACCAGAGGCUUACCAGCUCUGUACGGGCUCAGAGUGACCUACAGGAUGAACUGAGUUGCCUGCAAAGCCAGUUCAGCCAAGUCAGCCUAGAGAAGGAGCUCUUGUCAUCCAAGAACCUGAGACUGGAACAGAAGCUCGAAGACUUGAAGAUGACACUUUCUGGGGCCCUGGCUGAUAAAGAGCGCUUCCUGCAGGAGAAGGCAGAACUUCACCAGCGUGUCCAGGGGCUGGAGCUGGAGCUGGAACGUGCUAAGCUGGGCCGUGAGGGUUUCACUGAACAGGUGUCUGAGCUGCACAAGGAGCUGGUAGGAGCCAAGGCCCAAGCAAACCGACAGGACCAAGAGAAAGUGCUGAUGAAGGAGGAGCUGUUCACUGUCAAACAGGUGAACGAGAGGGUGGCCUCAGAGUUGGCCGAAGUGAAGCAGAGACUGGAUACAGCACUGCAGCAGGUGCACGAGCUGGAGGCGGAGAAAGUGAUCCACACUAAUCAGAUCAGUGCCCUGGAGAUGGAGCGCUCCCAGCUCAUCGGAGAAAAGGAACUGCUGAUGGGCACAGAGGUGGGCCACCUGGGCCACCAGGAAGAGCUUCAGGAGCUCAGAGAGACCUGCCAAGCUCUGAGGGAUUCCCAGCAGGCUCUGCGCUCUGAGAACCAGGAGCUGCGGAGCUGCUGCCAGGAACAGGGGGCGGAUCUUCGUGUGAGAGAGGCUGGACUCCGUCAGAAAGAGGAGGAGCAUGAAGAGCAGGUGAAGGGCUUGCUGAGCCAGGUGGAAGAGCUGCAGAGGGUGGCCGCACACUGGAAGGAGAGGUGGCAGGAGGCGGCAGUGGCCCUGCGGUCCAGGGAGCUGGAGGUGGACCUGGAAGAGGCUCAGGGGCAGCCACAGACCCCCGCUGACACGGUACCCCCAAAUAACUGACGCGUCCUGCCCUUUAAACUUCCGGGAUAGACUGAAUCAAGUUUAAUGCAGUGUAGCUGUAAAUGAAUGAAACAGAUAACAGAUUAAUAAAACUGUACAACAAAUAUAUGCUCUUUUACUACAUGUUUAUCUGCUUUACAGAGUCCAAAAUAGCAUUUGAAAGCAGGAGCAUAAUAGUCCUCAGCAGCACUGCAACAAAAGCGGGAAAAGCUCAUUUUUAGUACUUUUCUCUGAAUAUUAUAAACACAGCUAAGAACACCUUUGACUGCUAACAUCACGGACUGCUUCCCGAUCCGCACUAACACUGUGAGCACUCCCCCUUCCUGUUUAAACACAAACCCUAAAUACACCCACGUGAGUGUGCGUUCCCAGUCGUUUCUCAAUCAUACAGGAAUAUCCAGCAGGUGGAACUAUCUUCAAGUAAUUUGCUAGUGUUAGUGUCCUUUACAUGAGAUAAACCACCUCACAAAUAUUCAAGCUCACUAACCAUUGUGUAAGUGUGAGUUUUUGAUCAUUUGAAUGAAUGAACAAUUUAAAGAGUUUCAUGAAGCUCAGGAACACUUUAGUUCCUAAGGAUUCUUUUACAAUGAAUUAUGCGAACAAUGUAUCAUUAUACCACAACUGAAAUUUGACCAGUCCAACCCCACUGACUCCAAUUAUUUUAAUACAUCAGCAGCCUCAGAUG